rnacentral:rRNA from 1 species
GACGAACGCUGGCGGCGUGCUUAACACAUGCAAGUCGAACGGAAAGGCCCUGCUUUUGUGGGGUGCUCGAGUGGCGAACGGGUGAGUAACACGUGAGUAACCUGCCCUUGACUUUGGGAUAACUUCAGGAGACUGGGGCUAAUACCGGAUAGGAGCUCCUGCUGCAUGGUGGGGGUUGGAAAGUUUCGGCGGUUGGGGAUGGACUCGCGGCUUAUCAGCUUGUUGGUGGGGUAGUGGCUUACCAAGGCUUUGACGGGUAGCCGGCCUGAGAGGGUGACCGGCCACAUUGGGACUGAGAUACGGCCCAGACUCCUACGGGAGGCAGCAGUGGGGAAUAUUGCACAAUGGGCGGAAGCCUGAUGCAGCAACGCCGCGUGCGGGAUGACGGCCUUCGGGUUGUAAACCGCUUUCGCCUGUGACGAGGCGUGAGUGACGGUAAUGGGUAAAGAAGCACCGGCUAACUACGUG